rnacentral:rRNA from 1 species
GACGAACGCUGGCGGCGUGCCUAAUACAUGCAAGUAGAACGCUGAAGAGAGAAGCUUGCUCUUCUUGAAUGAGUUGCGAACGGGUGAGUAACGCGUAGGUAACCUGCCUUGUAGCGGGGGAUAACUAUUGGAAACGAUAGCUAAUACCGCAUAACAAUGGGUGACACAUGUCAUUUAUUUGAAAGGGGCAAUUGCUCCACUACAAGAUGGACCUGCGUUGUAUUAGCUAGUAGGUGAGGUAACGGCUCACCUAGGCGACGAUACAUAGCCGACCUGAGAGGGUGAUCGGCCACACUGGGACUGAGACACGGCCCAGACUCCUACGGGAGGCAGCAGUAGGGAAUCUUCGGCAAUGGGGGCAACCCUGACCGAGCAACGCCGCGUGAGUGAAGAAGGUUUUCGGAUCGUAAAGCUCUGUUGUAAGUCAAGAACGAGUGUGAGAGUGGAAAGUUCACACUGUGACG